AACGUAGGAGGCAAGCGUUAUCCGGAUUUACUGGGCGUAAAGCGCGUGCCAGCAGCCGCGGUAAGUCGGACGUGAAAUCUCUCGGCUCAACUGGGAGAGGCCGUUCGAAACUACCGUGCUUGAGGGCAGUAGAGGGAAGUGGAAUUCCGGGUGUAGCGGUGAAAUGCGUAGAUAUCCGGAGGAACACCAGUGGCGAAGGCGGCUUCCUGGACUGCUCCUGACGCUCAGACGCGAAAGCUAGGGGAGCGAACGGG
rnacentral:rRNA from 1 species